UAGGCAAGUGUGUUAUAUCAUUUCCAUGGAUUCCAAACUUUGAUGAAGAAUAGUCUUGAAUCCCUUGGUGUCCUUUGUGAAUGGUGAUGAUGCCCCCGUCCCCACGACUACGGACGUUGAAGAUGACCCAGAAAUGAACAAGACUCGAAUAUUCAUAAUUUCUGAUGGCAACAGCACCGCGAUUCCAGAGGGUACUGUACAAGCUGACGACAUAAAUUUAGGUGAAACUUUAUCACCGGAUCCUGCAAGUAACUUUUUACAAAUUUCAAAUCUGAAACACAAGAUUUUGGGACACCAUGCUCUCAGUAUACUACAGAACAUAUCUCCUAUAGUGAAACCGCUCCAAGAGAAACUACAGCGAUUCAAAGAUUAUGUGAAUCAUCCAAAUAGUCCACAUAUAACCAUUCCCCUCUUCAGACCACUUCAGUUGCUGAACGGCCUCCAGCAGAAUGGAAAUUAUUUUCUAUCAGGCAUCAAUAGCGCUAUUUUUGGAUUGGCCAACUUGGACAACUACGAUUACCCGUUUCCUUACAGAAGAGCUGGAUUGAUUGGGAAGAAAGAAGCAACUAAAAGUGUCGAAAAUAUCUGACUGAGUGCAUCUGAUGCAACUAAAAAAUGAUAGAUAAUUAUAUUGGUGUCGACGAAUGUCCGAAAACCUUAGAAACGGCUAUGAUUUUUAUGUUUUUUUUGAAGUAUCUGAAGUCAUAAACCUUUUGGAGCGGGGGACAUAAUUAUUUAUAUUGUUUUAAUAAUGUUUAUAAUAUUUAUAUAAAAUUCAGUUUCGCCUGUUUUUUUUAAUAAUUCGUAUAUUAUUUAUUUACUAGAGUACACAGAUCUUCACAUAAUAACAAUGACACGGAUGUUGAAGUGGUUUUGAUGGAUAUAAUAAUGGUAGAGAAAUUUCAACCAGUUAUUUAAUAGCUUCUAAAGAAACAGUUGAAAGUUAUGUCAUUUCAAAUAGUUAUUUUUUAAAAACCCCAUUCUUCGAAAUGUAAUGUUGAACUCACAAAUAAACUCUAUAUUUCAUUAUUAUUUUAUUCAAGUUUUGCUAUAUACACUAUCGGAGGUAACAAACUGGGUUGUACCUGUAGUAUUUUCAGAUAUAUACCAAAUCGAUAGAUUAAUCUUGUAUGAUAAAAGCAGCAGGCAUGUACUGGAUAAGGAAUAUACGACUUUGUUUGCAAA